rnacentral:rRNA from 1 species
CCUACGGGGGGCAGCAGUGAGGAAUAUUGGUCAAUGGUCUUACGCCUGAACCAGCCAAGUCGCGUGAGGGAGGACGGUACAGAGCAUCGUAAACCUCUUUUGUCCGGGAACAAAGUCGGGGACGUGUCCCCGGAUGAGUGUACCUGAUGAAAAAGCAUCGGCUAACUCCGUGCCAGCAGCCGCGGUAAUACGGAAGAUGCGAGCGUUAUCCGGAUUUAUUGGGUUUAAAGGGUGCGCAGGCGGCCUGUUAAGUUAGCCGUCAAAGCCCGGGGCUCAACCCUGGCCCGGCGGUGGAAACUGGCAGUCUCGAGUGGGAGGGAAGUAUGCGGAAUGCGCGGUGUAGCGGUGAAAUGCAUAGAUAUCGCGCAGAACUCCGAUUGCGAAGGCAGCAUGCGGGCGCCACACUGACGCUGAGGCACGAAGGCGUGGGUAUCGAACAGGAUUAGAUACCCCGGUAGUC